UUAGAGUUUGUUCCUGGCUCAGGAUGAACGCUAGCGGCAGGCUUAACACAUGCAAGUCGAGGGGCAGCGAGAUCAGUGAUUGCACUGAUUGUCGGCGACCGGCGCACGGGUGCGUAACGCGUAUGCAACCUACCCAUUACAGGGGGAUAACACUGAGAAAUCGGUACUAAUACCCCAUAACAUCCAGGGAGGCAUCUUCUUGGGUUGAAAACUCCGGUGGUAAUGGAUGGGCAUGCGUUGUAUUAGUUAGUUGGUGGGGUAACGGCUCACCAAGACAACGAUACAUAGGGGGACUGAGAGGUUAACCCCCCACAUUGGUACUGAGACACGGACCAAACUCCUACGGGAGGCAGCAGUGAGGAAUAUUGGUCAAUGGACGCAAGUCUGAACCAGCCAUGCCGCGUGCAGGAAGACGGCUCUAUGAGUUGUAAAAUGCUUUUGUACGAGGGUAAACGCAGAUACGCGUAUCUGUCUGAAAGUAUCGUACGAAUAAGGAUCGGCUAACUCCGUGCCAGCAGCCGCGGUAAUACGGAGGAUUCAAGCGUUAUCCGGAUUUAUUGGGUUUAAAGGGGGCGUAGGCGGUCGGAUAAGUUAGAGGUGAAAUCCCGGGGCUCAACUUCGGAAUUGCCUCUGAUACUGUUCGGCUAGAGAGUAGUUGCGGUAGGCGGAAUGUAUGGUGUAGCGGUGAAAUGCUUAGAGAUCAUACAGAACACCGAUUGCGAAGGCAGCUUACCAAGCUACUUCUGACGUUGAGGCACGAAAGCGUGGGGAGCAAACAGGAUUAGAUACCCUGGUAGUCCACGCAGUAAACGAUGAUAACUCGUUGUCGGCGAUACAGUGUCGGUGACUAAGCGAAAGCGAUAAGUUAUCCACCUGGGGAGUACGUUCGCAAGAAUGAAACUCAAAGGAAUUGACGGGGGCCCGCACAAGCGGAGGAACAUGUGGUUUAAUUCGAUGAUACGCGAGGAACCUUACCCGGGCUUGAAAGUUAGUGACGGAUCUUGAAAGAGGUCUUCCCUUCGGGGCACGAAACUAGGUGCUGCAUGGUUGUCGUCAGCUCGUGCCGUGAGGUGUCGGGUUAAGUCCCAUAACGAGCGCAACCCCUACCGUUAGUUGCCAGCAGGUCAAGCUGGGCACUCUGACGGGACUGCCGGUGUAAGCCGAGAGGAAGGUGGGGAUGACGUCAAAUCAGCACGGCCCUUACGUCCGGGGCUACACACGUGUUACAAUGGCAGGUACAGAGGGCAGCUACCCAGCGAUGGGAUGCGAAUCUCGAAAGCCUGUCUCAGUUCGGAUUGGAGGCUGAAACCCGCCUCCAUGAAGUUGGAUUCGCUAGUAAUCGCGCAUCAGCCAUGGCGCGGUGAAAAGGUUCCCGGGCCUUGCACA
rnacentral:rRNA from 1 species